UCCGGUUUGUCACCGGCAGUCUCCUUAGAGUGCCCAACUAAAUGAGGGCAACUAAGAACAAGGGUUGCGCUCGUUGCGGGACUUAACCCAACAUCUCACGACACGAGCUGACGACAACCAUGCACCACCUGUCACCACUGUCCCCGAAGGGAAAGCUAUGUCUCCAUAGCGGUCAAUGGGAUGUCAAGACCUGGUAAGGUUCUUCGCGUUGCGUCGAAUUAAACCACAUGCUCCGCUGCUUGUGCGGGCCCCCGUCAAUUCCUUUGAGUUUUAGCCUUGCGGCCAUACUCCCCAGGCGGGGUGCUUAAUGCGUUAGCUGCGGCACGGAUGGAGUCGACACCACCCACACCUAGCACCCAUCGUUUACGGCGUGGACUAC
rnacentral:misc_RNA from 1 species